UUAGCGGCGGACGGGUGAGUAACACGUGGAUAACCUACCUAUAAGACUGGGAUAACUUCGGGAAACCGGAGCUAAUACCGGAUAAUAUUUUGAACCGCAUGGUUCAAAAGUGAAAGACGGUCUUGCUGUCACUUAUAGAUGGAUCCGCGCUGCAUUAGCUAGUUGGUAAGGUAACGGCUUACCAAGGCAACGAUGCAUAGCCGACCUGAGAGGGUGAUCGGCCACACUGGAACUGAGACACGGUCCAGACUCCUACGGGAGGCAGCAGUAGGGAAUCUUCCGCAAUGGGCGAAAGCCUGACGGAGCAACGCCGCGUGAGUGAUGAAGGUCUUCGGAUCGUAAAACUCUGUUAUUAGGGAAGAACAUAUGUGUAAGUAACUGUGCACAUCUUGACGGUACCUAAUCAGAAAGCCACGGCUAACUACGUGCCAGCAGCCGCGGUAAUACGUAGGUGGCAAGCGUUAUCCGGAAUUAUUGGGCGUAAAGCGCGCGUAGGCGGUUUUUUAAGUCUGAUGUGAAAGCCCACGGCUCAACCGUGGAGGGUCAUUGGAAACUGGAAAACUUGAGUGCAGAAGAGGAAAGUGGAAUUCCAUGUGUAGCGGUGAAAUGCGCAGAGAUAUGGAGGAACACCAGUGGCGAAGGCGACUUUCUGGUCUGUAACUGACGCUGAUGUGCGAAAGCGUGGGGAUCAAACAGGAUUAGAUACCCUGGUAGUCCACGCCGUAAACGAUGAGUGCUAAGUGUUAGGGGGUUUCCGCCCCUUAGUGCUGCAGCUAACGCAUUAAGCACUCCGCCUGGGGAGUACGACCGCAAGGUUGAAACUCAAAGGAAUUGACGGGGACCCGCACAAGCGGUGGAGCAUGUGGUUUAAUUCGAAGCAACGCGAAGAACCUUACCAAAUCUUGACAUCCUUUGACAACUCUAGAGAUAGAGCCUUCCUCUUCGGGGGACAAAGUGACAGGUGGUGCAUGGUUGUCGUCAGCUUGUGUCGUGAGAUGUUGGGUUAAGUCCCGCAACGAGCGCAACCCUUAAGCUUAGUUGCCAUCAUUAAGUUGGGCACUCUAAGUUGACUGCCGGUGACAAACCGGAGGAAGGUGGGGAUGACGUCAAAUCAUCAUGCCCCUUAUGAUUUGGGCUACACACGUGCUACAAUGGACAAUACAAAGGGCAGCGAAACCGCGAGGUCAAGCAAAUCCCAUAAAGUUGUUCUCAGUUCGGAUUGUAGUCUGCAACUCGACUACAUGAAGCUGGAAUCGCUAGUAAUCGUAGAUCAGCAUGCUACGGUGAAUACGUUCCCGGGUCUUGUACACACCGCCCGUCACACCACGAGAGUUUGUAACACCCGAAGCCGGUGGAGUAACCUUUUAGGAGCUAGCCGUCGAAGGUGGGACAAAUGAUUGGGGUGAAGUCGUAACAAGGUAGCCGUAUCGGAAGGUGCGGCUGGAUCACCU
rnacentral:rRNA from 1 species